CCUACGGGUGGCAGCAGUGGGGAAUAUUGCGCAAUGGGCGAAAGCCUGACGCAGCGACGCCGCGUGAGGGAUGAAGGUCUUCGGAUCGUAAACCUCUGUCAGCAGGGAAGAAAGGUCACUGUGCUAAUCAGCAGUGAAUUGACGGUACCUGCAAAGGAAGCACCGGCUAACUCCGUGCCAGCAGCCGCGGUAAUACGGAGGGUGCGAGCGUUAAUCGGAUUUACUGGGCGUAAAGCGCUCGUAGGCGGUAUGGCAAGUCAAGGGUGAAAUCCCCGGGCUCAACGUGGGAACUGCCUUUGAAACUGGUGAACUGGAGUGUAGGAGAGGUUAGUGGAAUUCCAGGUGUAGGAGUGAAAUCCGUAGAUAUCAGGAGGAACAUCAGUGGCGAAGGCGACUAUCUGGAACAUAACUGACGCUGAGGAGCGAAAGCGUGGGUAGCAAACAGGAUUAGAUACCCGAGUAGUC
rnacentral:rRNA from 1 species